rnacentral:lncRNA from 1 species
ACAACAUGAAAGAAACCGCAACCCGCCUAGCCCGACCCAAAAUUUUCCCUACUCCCAACUCUGAUCGACUCCGCAACCACCGUCGCUGGCGCUACAGUCCCGGCGAGCCAUACACCAUCGUGAUCUCGUUGGUUGAUCCACACCCCACCGUCUUCUGUCCUCACCAUCAUCCUAUCAUAUUCUCAUCGUCCCUGCCACCAUCACCCGCCGCUGUAACUUUUCAGAUUCCGCUGCCUCCAUUCCUCACCCAAGUUACAGAUUUCGCAGAUUCUUACCGCCGUACUACAUCAGGAAACUAUCGCCACUGUCAUCUCGUCGUGACCAUACGUGGCGUCAUUUGCUGGUGAGUUUCUCCAGUUCGUCCGCCGCUGCCUCUAUCAAUACCAGCUGCGUCUACUUCAGUCCUCCCUCGCUUCCCGACAUCCAGCAUUCUACCCAGCAUACCAGUUGUCUCCUUAGCCUUCAACUCUGGAACACUUCCAUUCUUGAGCACAGCAAUCUCCACCCAUCCUCGCCACCGGAUAAGCAGGCUUAAUUGUGUCUUGGUAAGUUUUUCAGUUUG